GGGAUGGUCUGUAUGUCAAGUGUGUUGCUGAUUGGUCAGUAAAUAAAUCACUGAUUGGCCAUUGGCUAGGCAGGAAGUAUAGGCAGGACAAGGAGAAGAAUUCUGGGAAGUGGAAGGCGGAGAGAGAGACAUUGCCAGCCGCCAUCAUGACAAGCCUCAUGGGAAGAUCCCGAAAGCCAGAGGCUAUGGAUUUGUUCAAGAUUAAGAUACAUCAGGUUUGACCAGCCAAGACCCCCUGAAAGGUCUCCGAUGACACCAUGGCCCUGAUGAUCCAACAUCCAGAAUGGUUUCAAGGCAACUGGCUCAGACGACAUACCCUCAUGGACUAUUCCAUAAUUCUAAAAUUUUCUUUGUAUCCCUAUAAGAUACAGUGCCCCCCUCCAGCAGGAAGUAAUAAGAGAAACUACACCCAAAUUCCCAAAUAUACCAAGCUGACUUUGGAGAUAUGUAAA